AUGAAGACCUUUCUCAUCCUUGCCCUCCUUGCUAUCGUGGCGACCACCACCACAACUGCAGUUAGAGUUCCAGUGCCACAAUUGCAGCCACAAAAUCCAUCUCAGCAACAACCACAAGAGCAAGUUCCAUUGGUGCAACAACAACAAUUUCUAGGGCAGCAACAACAACAUUUUCCAGGGCAACAACAACCAUUUCCACCACAACAGCCAUAUCCGCAGCCGCAACCAUUUCUGCCACAACUACCAUAUCCGCAGCCGCAACCAUUUCCACCACAACAAUCAUAUCCACAACCACAACCACAAUAUCCGCAACCACAACAACCAAUUUCGCAGCAACAAGCACAACUACAACAACAACAACAACAACAACAACAACAAAUCCUUCAACAAAUUCUGCAACAACAACUGAUUCCAUGCAGGGAUGUCGUCUUGCAACAACCCAACAUAGCACAUGCAAGCUCACAAGUAUCGCAACAAAGUUACCAACUGUUGCAACAAUUAUGUUGUCAGCAACUGUGGCAGACCCCCGAGCAGUCACGGUGCCAAGCCAUCCACAAUGUCAUUCAUGCUAUUAUUUU
rnacentral:rRNA from 1 species